UUCGCCUACGGGGGGCAGCAGUGAGGAAUAUUGGUCAAUGGUCGGGAGACUGAACCAGCCAAGCCGCGUGAGGGAUGAAGGUACAGAGUAUCGUAAACCUCUUUUGUCAGGGAACAAAGGCGGGGACGUGUCCCCGGAUGAGUGUACCUGAAGAAAAAGCAUCGGCUAACUCCGUGCCAGCAGCCGCGGUAAUACGGAGGAUGCGAGCGUUAUCCGGAUUUAUUGGGCGUAAAGCGAGUGCAGGCGGUUCCAUAA
rnacentral:rRNA from 1 species